rnacentral:rRNA from 1 species
AAUGAACGUUGGCGGCGUGGAUUAGGCAUGCAAGUCGUGCGAGAAGUGUUUUUUGCUUGCAUUGAACACGGACAGCGGCGAAAGGGAGAGUAACGUGUGGUUACAUGCCUCGGGGUCCAGGAUAGCGUUGGGAAACUGGCGGUAAUACUGGAUGAUAUCUAAGGAUCAAAGGUGUGAUUCCGCCCUGAGAUUGGACCGCAUACUAUUAGCUUGUUGGUGAGGUAAUGGCUCACCAAGGCUGCGAUGGUUACCGGGUGUGAGAGCAUGGCCCGGCUCACUGGGACUGAGACACUGCCCAGACACCUACGGGUGGCUGCAGUCGAGAAUCUUCGGCAAUGGACGAAAGUCUGACCGAGCGACGCCGCGUGCGGGAUGAAGGCCCUCGGGUUGUAAACCGCUGUCAGUUUGGAGGAAAGAUCUGUGAAGAGCAGAUCUUGACCGAUAUUCAGAGGAAGGACGGGCUAAGUUCGUGCCAGCAGCCGCGGUAAGACGAACCGUCCAAACGUUAUUCGGUAUCACUGGGCUUAAAGCGUGCGUAGGCGGCUUGGUAGGUGUGAUGUGAAAGCCCACGGCUCAACCGUGGAAUUGCGUCGCAAACCCCCAAGCUUGAGGAAGACAGGGGUGUUGGGAACUUAUGGUGGAGCGGUGAAAUGCGUUGAUAUCAUAGGGAACACCGGUGGCGAAGGCGCAACACUGGGUCUUUUCUGACGCUGAGGCACGAAAGCUAGGGUAGCGAACGGG